UGUAAAUAAAUAACAAAAACAGGAAUUUCUGAAUUUCCGAUAAGGAACAUUAAUCGCAGCUGAAGUAUUCCGUAUUCAACCGUAGGAAGUUUAAAUAUUGUCGGCGUAGCACCAACUUAGAAUUCGGAAGUCGGGACUUCCGAACCGAACUUUCUUCCGAAGUUUUAUCUGUCAAACUAAUUGAUGCGUUGUUUAGCGCAUCUUUAGGCGAAUCUAGCGCACUAUUUCCGAAGUUGGGAAAGUUGCCUAUAUCUGGAGAAAAAUCCAACUUCGGUAUAAAAAGCGGUCUAGCUUUUAUCCGGAUAGACAAUAAAAACACGCAGGAAAACAUAAAAAUAUGUCUAAUAUUUCGACAACCUUGGCUUCACCCAUGUGGUGCGGGAAAUUAACAACGGAAUCAUCGCUGCCACUAUCAUCGAAACCGGGUGCUAUAAUCACAAAAGCUACCGGCGUAUUACUAUUCCCACAAGCAAUAUAUGUUGCUGCCACUCUGUAUGAAUGUAAUAUAAAUCCCGAAUAUUCACUACCGAUCAAGCUACCGAUGCACGUUCAUCCUUUGCCAGCGCUAUCAUACGAUCCUGGGAAAUCUCCAGCUAAUUAGCAGCCGCACGAACUCGGACCAUCAACCCUCCGUCAUAUCCCAUCGACGACCAUUGAACCGGAGUCCCAUGCCUAAUCUUUUCGGAAGUGCUCCGGAACGAUACAUCGCCGAGUAUACCUUGUCGAGUAAUGCGGAACCGUUUGUCUAAAUGCAACAACUGAAAUUGAUGCUUCUUAUUGUCGUCCCAGACCAAAAGCACCCUCUCAACAAC